rnacentral:lncRNA from 1 species
AGGAUUUCUUAUUAAAAGCAAACAAGUGUAAAUCACUUGGUUAGCUCGCAUAGAGAGAAGCUAGCACAGGGAUGUCCAGGUCUGUGGAACUGUGGCACCGUCUUCAGGGAGCAGACAGGGUUGAUGCAGAUGUGACUUCCAUCUUUCUGGUAGUCCCUUCUUACCUCUGAUUUGGUGACAAAUUUGCAUGCAUUCUCACCACUCCUCUUAUUCCUACUCCUGGUUUUGGAAUCCCGAGGAUUUGUUUUAAGAAUCAGAAGGGAUGGUGAUAUUAAAAGAAAGAUAUCAAGUCAUGUGGUUGUUCUAAAUCAACUCAUUUCUGACCAAGGAUGACCUCAGGUGGCCUCAGAGAUAGGAACAUGGACAUAUCCUUGCUUUAGGAAGAAAGGUCAAUUCAGAGUAUCUACAUGUCAUGGAGAAAUGACAUCUUUUUGCUUUUUGAAAAAUUAUCUUCACAGAUAAACAGGAAAAAACUACUUGUGCAGUAUAUAUAUUGGUAUUGAUAUUUUUCAACUUUGUACCAUCAACUGAAAAACUGAGCUGGUAUUCUGUUUAAUUUGGGAUGGUUUUUAUUUAUUCAUUAGAAAACAUUAGGGGAUUAGGCAGUGUUUUAAAGAAAAGAUACCUUGGUCUUAUUUGUAGAACUU